CAUCGCUACUCGUACGGCUCGCACCUGAUCUCCUGUCGACUAAAUAAUGUGUAAAAGUGCACAAAGUCCUAUAUUUUCGACGAAAAAUCGAGUAAUAUCGCAGCUAUUUCAGUGUUAAAAUAUUUUCAGCGGUACAGUUUACACGAGCCAUCGCGCUGGGAUUUUACGCAUAGUUCCGACUAACGAGUCUGGAAUAACAAAGAGGAGAAACGUCAAAAUUGGAACAGCCGAUUUGCUGUCAUCCCCAUAGUUCCAAUCGAGCAGGAGACCUGUCAAAACGACCAGGAUUCGCCACUUUGGUAUACUCGAGACACUUUAGUUCCGACAUGUAUUAAACGAUGGAGCAGGUCCUGUAGGAUUGCUGUAUCUGCCUGCGGAAUAGGAACAACUUCCUGUGCAUCUGCGACAAGACGAAUAUUUACUGAGCGCGUUGAUCAGAUCCUGGCCAGCUACUUUUGGUUCGAGGACGAGCAGGUCAUGCUGUACUCCAGCUGUUGGGAGAAGAUCGAUGAGUGUGCCGAAGAAAAAACGUGGUCGGAAGUGUAGGAAGCGGUCCAACUGUUGGACUCCAACAAGGAAGAGGAAGGGGACGGGGAUGAAGAGUGGAAGCCUUCGACCGAUGGGUUGAGAUUCCCGAUGCCUUUGCAGGUGAAGCUAGAUGUGGGGAAGUGUAAAAAAUACUCUAGAAUGUAAGUAUUAUAUCAUGCAUUUCUCACCCCUGUUAGCUAGUGCUUGUAUGUAUUUUGGCCAGGAUUGCUUUAUAACAAACUAGCUGUUCCGGCAAACGCCGUACUGCCUGCCUACCGUUUCGUCAUCUGUAUGGGAACCCUCCUUUCCAGAGAUGGGAGGAGUUCUGGUGUAAUGCUGUUACUUCUUACAAUGACUCGUGUUUUGAAGUGCUAAUCAAAGUUUCAGCUUUUUGCAACAUUCCGUUCCCCAUAUAUGUGUUUGGGAAGCUUCAGAACUCCAUUCCGGAUAAACGAGUCCAGCCUGUACUGUUACCAAAAGCAGUCACUCUCUUGCAAUAUGUAUGCCAAAAUAUUUCAGUAUUAUUUUUCUUCUUCGUAGCGAAUAUCCCCACUGAAAAAAAAACCCCGCUUUUCAGCUUUGUGUUCUAUCAAAGAUUUUUAAGUACUAAUAUACUAUUAGAUUCUAUGAGCACUUUCAUAGUUUGUAAAGAACUAGCAUAAGUUAAAAUUCACGAAAAUAAAAAAAAAAUAAUUAAAAAAAAAACUUCCAUAUAGGGUGACCAAGGAUAUUAUCGGCAGGAUUGUUCCCUUUGUCAUUAGAGGUUUUAGUCGGUCAACUUGCUUGAAACUUGGUCGUAUAAUUCUGCUUGCUUGGGAAGGAUUUGCGGCCAAUUGUGAGUUCAAGAGGUUUAUAAAAGCCCCCCAUGACGAACAAAAAAAAAAACGGCCCAAAAUACGUAAGUUCCCCUAGUUAUUGACUGAGAGUUUCCUCUGAUCGUUUUGCCUAUGUAUAUCGUGUGUCAGGCACGAAGAUACUCUAUGCCCAAGGAAGUCAAGGAAUUUUCAAUAAUUGUUAAUAGUUCCUGGACUGACCGGGAAUCGAAUCCGGUUACCUUCAACAUGAUCAUGCUGACACCCAUGCCCUAUUCCAGUCAUUGAAUCGAAUAAACGGUUGACAGCAUACGUGCCAACUUGUGGCCUAUGUGGGAGUGGGCAAGACAUCCCAAAAUUAAUUAAAUUCGGAAACAAUCGACGCAGUUGAUCUAAUUUAUAUACAAAUAUUUACGUGACAAUUAUUGCAUUGAGUUCAUGAAUUUUAUUCAAUUUUCAAGAGCGGCCCCCCUUCUUUCGGGUACAAUUGAUCACUAUUUAUAGUUUUUUUUUUAAUCAUUAUAUAUUUCUAGACCAACAUGUGAAAAGGGCGGAAAAGCCAAAAUGUAAACAAAUAACUUUUCAGCAUAAUUUGAUGAAACAACUCAUGAACAUAUGAUUUUUCCUGACGUUAGCUCAAAAAUGAGUUUCCACUUAUGGAAAACAAUAAUUUAAAUAAAGGCGGAUUUCCACAUCUGAUUUUGAUCACUUCAUUUGGUUGUUCCGCCAAUGAUCUUGCGCCUUUGAAAAAAGCACAAAAAUGCACAAAAUUGUUAACACUGUUGAAUAAACAGUCGUGAACAGCAUCUCGCCAUUCAAAUUUAUCAAAUUUACACAAAACUUUUACUCCUACUUGAUUAAAGUCGCCCCUAAUUACUUACACCGUUAUUGAAAAGCCUUCGUCAUUACGUCGUGCUUCGGCGCCCAUUAAAAUGUCUGAGUGGAAAUCCGCCGCGCACUUAUUGCUCUUGUUGCGCACGGAUGGUUCUUACGCCCAAGAUCAAAUCGUGCGUUUUUCACCGUAAAAUUCAAUAAAGUCGCUGACUGACUGCAAUAAGUGGCGAUAAUAUGGCUUCAAUGUCUAUUCAGGAUAUAUUUUCUCCAAAGGACCCAGGUUUGGAUGAUAUGCAGCUGGUAAAGCUUCACUGAUAAAAACACAGACAAACAGACGUAACACUCUUCAGAACGACAUGGCACAUGCAUUUAACGAUCGAUUCGAAUUUCUUUUGCUUUCCGCGAUCCUUCCACCAGAGGCGCUAGUGUUUGAUCGCUUUGACGUUUGCCAGUGUACACGUUGCUGAAUGAUGCAAAUGAAACUUACAGGCGAUUUGUGUAGUAGUGUGCGUGUUAGACAAACGUCAAAUCGAAAUCCAUCAUGGCCGACAGUGUCUCGCGCGGUUCUACCAACAGGUGGCAGUG